UCAGCCGCCGCGGUAAAACCAGCACCUCGAGUGGUCAGGAGGUUUAUUGGGCCUAAAGCAUCCGUAGCCGGUUGUUUAAGUUUUCGGUUAAAUCUAUGCGCUUAACGUAUAGGCUGCCGAAAAUACUGGACAGCUAGGGAGUGGGAGAGGUACACGGUACUCAAUAGGAAGGGGUAAAAUCCUUUGAUCUGUUGAUGACCACCUGUGGCGAAGGCGGUGUACCAGAACACGUUCGACGGUGAGGGAUGAAAGCUGGGGGAGCAAACCGGAUUAGAUACCCGGGUAGUCCCAGCUGUAAACGAUGCAAACUCGGUGAUGCAUUGGCUUGUGGCCAAUGCAGUGCCGCAGGGAAGCCGUUAAGUUUGCCGCCUGGGAAGUACGUACGCAAGUAUGAAACUUAAAGGAAUUGGCGGGGGAGCACACAAGGGGUGAAGCCUGCGGUUCAAUUGGAGUCAACGCCAGGAAU
rnacentral:rRNA from 1 species